CAGGAAAGCAGGGCCCGGCCACCAUCGGACUGUGUGUGACUCCCGCCUUCAUUUGCCUUUCUGCCAGUGCUGGGAGUGGCAGGAAGUUUCAGCAGUCAGCAAACUGCUGCAUAAACUCAGAAUCAGCUUAAAAAGAUAGUUGCUAAAUGCUUAACACAUUGUAAACUUCAAGAGGGAACAAACAAAGGCAAGUGUAGGAAACCUGUAACGCAGUCAUUCACACUGCGUGCUUUCUGUCCCUGCACACAAGCUACCUUACAGCAGGUUUUGUUCCAUUUCCUGCUUCAGUACAUAAUCUUUGAUCUGCAGGAUCACUUAGGUGCUAAGUUAUUGAAAUCGAAACUAUUUUCAGACAUAGAAAAAUAUUAUGACGUGGUAGUGCAGGGAAGAUGCAGUUUACACCAAACAGUGAUGGUGGAUCAGACAAGGCCCUCACUGGGACACCACUGACAUGGGAUACAAAAGCAGAAAGAGAAGAGAGAAAACCCACAGGAACCCAGUUCUUUUGUCCAAAACCAACCCACAUCAGGACAGACAGAUGCUUACACUGGCUUCAGCACACUCUAAGUCUCCUAAUUUGAAAACCACUUGAAUCUCUCACCCGAUAGACAUCCUCACAGGUGCACAAAACCUGAAAUGGGAAACUACCUCUAUACAGGCCUCCAAGCAACACGGUCAGAACACUGCCCAGAGAGGCUAUGGAUGCCCCCUCCCUGGAAGCAUGCAAGGCCAGGCUGGAUGGGGCUCUGAGC